rnacentral:rRNA from 1 species
CACCGCGGUUAUACGAGUGGCCCAAGUUGAAAGUUACCGGCGUAAAGAGUGGUUAGGGAAAUAAUAAACUAAAGCCGAACACCCUCUAGGCUGUUAUACGCUUCUGAGGGUACGAAGCCCCACUACGAAAGUGGCUUUAAUACACCUGAACCCACGACAACUAAGAUA